UACAUAGGGGCCAAGCGUUGUCCGGAUUUACUGGGCGUAAAGGGCUCGUAGGCGGUGAUCUAAGUCAGAAUUAAAAGGCAGAGGCUUAACCUCUGUUCGGUUCUGAAACUGGAUUGCUAGAGAUUUGGAGAGGAAAGUGGAAUUAACAGUGUAGCGGUGAAAUGCGUAGAUAUUGUUAAGAACACCCGUGGCGAAGGCGGCUUUCUGGCCAAAAUCUGACGCUGAGGAGCGAAAGCGUGGGGAGC
rnacentral:rRNA from 1 species